CGUGCCUAACACAUGCAAGUCGAGCGAGAUGAGUCCCUCGGGGAGAUUCUAGCGGCGGACGGGUGAGUAACACGUGGGUAACCUGCCUCAAAGAGGGGGAUAGCCUCCCGAAAGGGAGAUUAGUACCGCAUAACAUUAUUUCUUCGCAUGAAGAGAUAAUCAAAGGAGUAAUCCGCUUUGAGAUGGACCCGCGGCGCAUUAGCUAGUUGGUGAGGUAAUGGCUCACCAAGGCAACGAUGCGUAGCCGACCUGAGAGAGUGAUCGGCCACAUUGGAACUGAGAUACGGUCCAGACUCCUACGGGAGGCAGCAGUGGGGAAUAUUGCGCAAUGGGGGAAACCCUGACGCAAGCAACGCCGCGUGGGUGAAGAAGGCCUUCGGGUUGUAAAGCUCUGUCUUCUGGGACGAUAAUGACGGUACCAGAGGAGGAAGCCACGGCUAACUACGUGCCAGCAGCUGC
rnacentral:rRNA from 1 species